rnacentral:rRNA from 1 species
AGGGCGCAAGGGGAAUGCCUUGGCACUGAGAGCCGACGAAGGACGCGACAAGCUGCGAUAAGCUACGGGGAGCCGCAAAUGGGCUUUGAUCCGUGGAUUUCCGAAUGGGGAAACCCGAUGGAGCAAUACUCCAUCAACCAUGACUGAAUACAUAGGUCAUGGUGGGGAACCGCCUGAACUGAAACAUCUAAGUAGGGCGAGGAAGAGAAAUCAACCGAGAUUCCGCUAGUAGUGGCGAGCGAACGCGGAAGAGGCCAAACCGGAGGUAGCAAUAUUUCCGGGGUUAGGACUGCAAUAUGUAACUUUAAUCUUUAACUGAAUGCUUUGGGAAGAGCAGCAAUAUAGGGUGAUAGCCCCGUAAGUGAAAAGGAUUGAGUGCUAGCAGUAUCCAGAGUACCAGCGGACACGUGAAACCCGCUGGGAAGAUGGGGGGACCAUCCUCCAAGCCUAAAUACUACUCAGUGACCGAUAGUGGAGCAGUACCGUGAGGGAAAGGUGAAAAGUACCCCGGGAGGGGAGUGAAAAAGAACCUGAAACCUUGUGCCUACAAGCACCGAGAGCACGUUAAAGUGUGAUCGGGUACUUUUUGUAGAACGGUCCGGCGAGUUAAUAUUUGCAGCGAGGUUAAGGAACUGGAGUUCCGGAGCCGCAGCGAGAGCGAGUCUGAAUAGGGCGUAUGAAGUUGCAGGUAUUAGACCCGAAACCGGGUGACCUAUCCAUGAGCAGGCUGAAGCGGUGGUAAGACACCGUGGAGGGCCGCACCCACGUCUGUUGAAAAAGCCGGGGAUGACUUGUGGAUAGCGGAGAAAUUCCAAUCGAACUCGGAGAUAGCUGGUUCUCCCCGAAAUAGCUUUAGGGCUAGCGUUAUUUUAGAUUACCGGAGGUAAAGCACUGAAUGGUCUAGGGGCCGCGAGGUUACCAAAGCCUAUCAAACUCUGAAUGCCGGAUAAUUGAUGAAUAGCAGUCAGACUGUGUGAGAUAAGUCUCAUAGUCAAAAGGGAAACAGCCCAGAUCUACAGCUAAGGUCCCAAAUGAACACUAAGUGGAAAAUGAUGUGAAACUGCGAAGACAACCAGGAUGUUGGCUUAGAAGCAGCCACUCAUUCAAAGAGUGCGUAAUAGCUCACUGGUCGAGUGGUUUUGCGCAGAAAAUGUAACGGGGCUAAGUGUUCAACCGAAGCUUAGGCAUUGCAGUAAUGCAUUGGGUAGGGGAGCGUCGUAUGCGGGGCGAAGUCAGAGCGGAAGCACUGGUGGACUGCAUACGAGUGAGAAUGCCGGAAUAAGUAGCGAGAAUUAUGUGAGAAUCAUAAUGGCCGAAAAUCUAAGGUUUCUUGGGGAAGGUUCGUCCGCCCAAGGUUAGUCGGGAGCUAAGCUCAGGCCGAAAGGCGUAGGCGAUGCACAUACGGUAGAAAUUCCGUAACCACCGAACAUUUAAGCUAGAGGGACGCUUUCAUUAAGUCUAUCCCGGGCGAUGGUUGCCCCGGGCGUAAGGGACCGAAAUUUAGUAGGGAAGUAACUGGCGAGAGAGACGAGAAAAGCUCUAGUGUAUACUAAGGUGCCCGUACCGCAAACCGACACAGGUAGAUGGGAUGAGUAUUCUAAGGCCAACGGGAGAAGGGUUGUUAAGGAACUCGGCAAAUUGGCCCCGUAACUUCGGGAUAAGGGGCGCCUGCGAGAGCAGGCCGCAGUGAAAAGGCCCAAGCGACUGUUUAGCAAAAACACAGCUCUCUGCUAAAUCGAAAGAUGACGUAUAGGGGGUGACGCCUGCCCGGUGCUGGAAGGUUAAGGGGAGUGCUUAGCGCAAGCGAAGGUGCGAACUUAAGCCCCAGUAAACGGCGGCCGUAACUAUAACGGUCCUAAGGUAGCGAAAUUCCUUGUCGGGUAAGUUCCGACCCGCACGAAAGGCGUAAUGAUUUGAGCACUGUCUCGACAAUGCAUCCGGUGAAAUUGAAGUACCAGUGAAGAUGCUGGUUACCUGCGCCAGGACGGAAAGACCCCAUGGAGCUUUACUCCAGUCUGGUACUGGGACUCGGUAUUGCAUGUACAGGAUAGGUGGGAGGCUGGGAAAUGGUAACGCCAGUUGCCAUGGAGCCGCUGUUGGGAUACCACCCUUGCAGUACUGGGUUUCUAACCAGCAGCCGUGACCCGGCUGGGGGACAAUGUCAGGUGGGGAGUUUGACUGGGGCGGUCGCCUCCGAAAGGGUAUCGGAGGCGCUCAAAGGUUCCCUCAGAAUGGUUGGAAACCAUU